AUAGCUGGCCAGCACCUGUGGUCCUUUUCAAUUCCAGGCCUACCACCCUUUGCAGGGACGAAGCAGGCUGUAGUAAUACUCACUCUCCCUCAUUAGCUCAUGGAAUCCUCAUAACAAACAAGAUGAAAAAAUUGGGAAACGGAAACGUGACUCAAAGAACCCACCGUCACAUAGCUGUAAGUCAGAGAGUCACUGAUCAGAUGGCCUAUGACAAGAACCUCUGCUCUAGCCUGAAGUCAAAUGGUGUAGAGCGAAGGGACUAGGUCUUUACACCUCAGAAAACCAGCCUCCUCUGGCACUUACAAACAUAAACUCCUGCCAGGCAUGGUGUUGCACCCCUGGAAUCCCCACAACUUGGGAGGCUGUUGCAGGAGGAUUGCAAGUUUGAGGCCAGGCUGUGCAACUUAGUGAGAGUCUGACUUGAAAUAAAAGAGUUGGGGAAUGUAGCUCAGUGGUAGAGCACCCCAGGAUUCAAUCCCUAGUUCCCCUCCGCACACACACAAGAAAGAAAGAUAAAGGAAAAGUAGAAUGAACUCUCUUGACAAAGGAUUAUUGCCCUGUGGCCAAAUCAUUCUGUCUCCUCACUUGGCCUGUCCUGAGCUCUAUAGUCCUUCUGUUCCAGGAUAUCUCAGCUCAAUCAUCCAUCUGUCCGUCCAUCCAUCCAUCCAUCCAUCCAUCUUUUCACCUACCACCAGCUCAUUACAUCAUUCAGUGAAUCAUCCAUCCCCUAACCACCCUCUAUCCAGCUACCUAUUCUUUCAAUUAUCACGUGUCCAAAUCUCUCCACUUACCAUCCAUCAUCCUCCAUAAUCACCCACCUACCUAUCUACUCGUUAAUCCAUCUGCCCAUCUACCUACCCCUUCAUCCUCCCAAUUACUCAUUUCUUUGUCCUGUUCACCUAACUCCCCACCUCUUCUGCCCAUCCAUCUACCCACCCAGCCAUCACUCCACUCAUCAACCUCCCAUCCAUCACCCUCAGCAUCUAUUCAUUUAUUCAUCAGUUAUGGCUUGGAUCUGGGAUGUCCCCAAAGUUUC
rnacentral:lncRNA from 1 species